AAUGCCAAAAAACCCACACACCCAAGACCUGCCUACACCAAAGCGCAUCCCAAAGAGAUGCCUUCAACAUCCAAAUGCGAAACUUUACGGCGUCGGAGAAGCAUUCGAAUUGGUGGCAUCUACGACUCAACCACACACUCACCUCAACGUCCGACGUCUCCUUCUAUUCAUGGUUGGUUGAGAUGGAGAUGAAGCUUCGCGUGCACUGUUUAUUGAAAUGGAGAAUGUGGAUCCGUGUUCGGGUUCAUGCGUUGCCUGGAGAAGAGGGUGAGUAUGUUCAAUUCCGUGCGUGUCGCGUAGAGGUGAAAGUGAAGGUGAUUGUUGCUGCGUUAUGGAGCGUCAUUGACGUUUUGUAUGUUGCGAGUGAUUCAAUUCGUGGUCGUCGACGGCGAAGCGUGAAGGACGCAGUUUCUGACCUAUGCCUUGCUAUCGUCUUCCGUCUAUUUCGUAAUUUCUUCUUCUUCCUCCCGUAGACCGUAUGGCUACGAUGAUGAUUGAGGCGUGCGUUGCAGCACGACGGUGGAGACGCCGUUUCGGACGACGUCACAAGCUUGCCGUCGAAGCCAGAACAAAAGAAGAGACGAAGAACAUGGCUCUAGCAUUGACUCAAUUCUUUGGAACGUCGACGCGAGCAGGUUGGGUUUUUGAGGAUUGGAGAGAAGAAGAUUCUGAGGUGAUGAAGAGAAGUCGUAUUGAAGAAAUGGUGAAAGUUGAAGAGAAGAAGGAUUGAAGAAAUGGUGAAAGUUGAAGAGAAGAAGGAUUGAAGAAAUGGUGAAGGGUGAAAAGUGGGAGAAGAAUCAUUUUGAACUUGAAAUCGUUCUGGACUUUUCAAGGAUGAAAACAGAAUGAAGAGUGGAGAAUCACAAGAGGGUAGCUUGAAGAAUGACUUGAGGUGGCGACGAAGAUGAAGAUUGAAAACUCUAAACAAAAUUCUGCAGUGAGGUGCUUUAUGGAAGGGAAAAGCUUGGCUAUGGAGUGCAUGAUUAUGAAGAUGGAAGUGUAAUGCUUGUAGUUUAAAUGAAUUUGGAUUAGAUGUUAGAACAUUAUGUCACAAGCUUGUAUUUUUUGGAUUUUCUUCAUGUGUAGGUAUUGGCAAUGAUCACGUGCUUGGUUCUUGAAUUUGAAUUUUGAGGUAGGAAAUGGAGAAUCAAUGAAAGUUUGGAUUGGUUUUGUGUAAUUGUUUUAAUUGUUGUAAAUUGAAACAAAUGGUUGGAUAUUGUCAUGUAGUAGUGUGUAGAUUGGUUUGGAUGGAAAAUGAAGAUGUUGAAUUAUGAUUGAA